UUAACGCACUUUGGUUGAGCCUGCAAUUGGUUGAGCACGCUAAACGAAUGCGAGCGCAUAACGAGGUGAUAGCUGAUGUUGUUUUUCAGGGCACCCAUGCAUUAUGACCGAUCGGUUGAAUACUACGUAAAGCUGAACAUCUUUCUUGGCCAGACUAAUCGAAGCUGUCGUCGUGUUUAACUGGGAAAAGACUUGUGCUACUUAUCUGUCUGUAGUAGAUUACUUUCGUAUUAGCGAAAAUAUCCUAGCAAAACUCACCGAGGACCGAAGCAAGUCCGAGACCAAGCAGGAACAACAGAAACUCUUCACUCUCAAAGAAGUGUCGACUCUGAAGAUCUUUCGUCUUGCCGUAGUGAUAUGACGAGCGCACGUACUUCGAAGGUAUCCGAUCAAGAGCCAUUUGGGCGAUCAGUCGAAACGUUUCC